AAAAUUUUAUCUAUCAAAUCUGAGUCUAGAGUAUCAAAUAUAUAUAAUUUUAAAAUACAGGGUACCAUAUGAGCAUUAUUGAAAACAGAAGGUACUAAAAUAAUACUUUGCAAAAACAUAGGGUAUCAAAUGAGUAAAUUCCCUUUAAAUAUAGAAGAAUAUCAAGAAAUGAAAUCAAGAUCGUGAGGGAAUAUAUGGAAUGGAAUUUCUGUUGGGGCUUCUACUUUAGACCCUACCCAUGACGUUGUUUUUCUAACUUAUGAAAAUCAUCCAAUUAUCCAUUUUAUUUGGUAUACCAUAGGAUUGUCUGUAUAAUAUAUUUGCAUGUAUUUUUGUUCAUGCUACAAGUUCCUCAAAGCCAUAUCAGAUCUUCCCAAAAUCAUUCACUCCAUUUACCCAAUUCAUUAAAGCACUCAUCAAACCCUCCUACAAAGCCCCAAAAGAAUACAUCCAAGCCUCUGAAUUCAACGAGUGCCAAUUGAAACCGACCCUUGAGAUCCAGUUUAUCACUUUGCAAAUCCCUCCUGAACUUAUCCCUCAGUAGAUUAUACAGGGAAACACCUGAUGGUGAUAUACUACCUAAGAAUCUAUAAUCUUGACAAAUUAAAAACAAGAUUUAAAGAAAUAACAAAGAACAAGUAAAAAUUCACACAAGGAAAUUUUUACAAGGUUCACCACUACACAAAGUAAUGGCUAAUCCUUGGGACCUAGUCCAGAAAGAAAUCCACUAAGAUAUGAAAUGCAAGUUUUACAUAGUAUCUCUCAAUUUACAAUCUACUAAGUAAAUCAUCUAUACUUGUCUCUCUUGCAACCAUCCUUAGUUUGAACUAGUUGAAUCUUCACACUUGAAUUCUUGCAGAUCCAGCUUUCUUCCAAUACUCAGCUUGAUGAACAAUCACAGCUAGCCAUGGAUGAACAACCUCUCAAGAUUCAGUUCUUCAACCUGUAACAGAAAGAUAACCAAAAACAAACUCUACGAACAACAUAUACCAUAUAUUCCACGGCUGAGAAAAUCAAUUAACCCAUAUAUUUAUAGACCUAAGAUCUAACUAACUCAAAAACCCAGCCAUGCUCUCAAACAGAAAAUCGUUAGAGAAACUAAUUAAUUCAGCUACCACUGAAAAAACCCGAAACCUAAUGAUACAGUCAUAUUCAGACAAAGCCACGUAAGCAAGCAGUCAAUUAAAACAAUGUCCAACAGCCAGAUGCAACUGGCAAAACAGAAGAUAAACCAAAAUUCUGUCACGAUACACAAAACAGAUGGAACUAAGAAACUAACAGAUGAAUCAUGAAAUUGCCAAAAUACAGACAACACAAAGUAAGACACUUACAACAUCCAUAUUCAUUUUGGUGCCAUACGUUUAGCUAUUACCGACUUGUUGUCGAAUGGGUCUAAUAGACACCAGAAUGAGGAAAUAUGAGCAUGCUAGAUAGAGACAACGUUAAAUGCAGGAACAUUAAUAACUAUAUUGUUCCCUAAUUUUAAUAUGUCUCUCUGUGAGAAUCGAUUGAUUGAUGCCUUCAAAGUAGAAGUCCAACUGGCUAGAAUUGACCAAGACCUCACCUCUACAAGAGCUACUCUUCAGUACCAAAUGGCAUACACUCUACAAGAUCACACUCUGGAUCUCUCAUUGCCAACAGCUGAAGAAGCAUUGUUGGUCUCGGUAGACUUUACCCAAGUCCCUACAUGCACUCAUAUUCCAAGAACCAACUGGGUGGGACACAGAACAUCCUCCAUCACUAGACUCUCGACAGUCUCCACCUCCAGCUUCUCAACAGGCUAUCUUGACAUGCUAUAAGAAAGCAGCAAAGUGUAUGCGACAUCAUAGAGAAAAUUUUCCAGUACUACCUUAUUUUACACACUCUCCUUCCUCUAUCUCUUUAGUCCUCUUUCUCCCACAAAAUUAUGAAAACCCCAUUUUUGUUAUUUCUAUAUAUUCUUUUCUCUUUUUUUAAGAAAGAAAAGAAUAGGAGCAAUGGUUAUUAUUACAUUUGUUUUUUUUUUAUUCUUUCUCUUACACGAUCUCUCUUCUUCUUCUUCUUUU